rnacentral:sRNA from 1 species
GAUGCCAGGGUCAAAAGGUCAAAUACCGUUCAUGCUUGCAUGAUAAGGCAUUUGAUCUUGGGACCCGCCAAACAUGAGGAAGAAGCGAUUUACGCAGUAAAUCAGCGGAUUCCGAAUGUUUACAGGAUUGCGGGAGCACGAAGUGCGGAGCAAGCCGUAGGCAUC